ACUCCUGCGGGAGGCAGCAGUGGGGAAUAUUGGACAAUGGGCGCAAGCCUGAUCCAGCCAUGCCGCGUGAGUGAUGAAGGCCCUAGGGUUGUAAAGCUCUUUCACCGGUGAAGAUAAUGACGGUAACCGGAGAAGAAGCCCCGGCUAGCUUCGUGCCAGCAGCCGCGGUAAUACGAAGGGGGCUAGCGUUGUUCGGAUUUACUGGGCGUAAAGCGCACGUAGGCGGACUAUUAAGUCAGGGGUGAAAUCCCGGGGCUCAACCCCGGAACUGCCUUUGAUACUGGUAGUCUUGAGUUCGAGAGAGGUGAGUGGAAUUCCGAGUGUAGAGGUGAAAUUCGUAGAUAUUCGGAGGAACACCAGUGGCGAAGGCGGCUCACUGGCUCGAUACUGACGCUGAGGUGCGAAAGCGUGGGGAGCAAACAGGAUUAGAAACCCGGGUAGUCCC
rnacentral:rRNA from 1 species